GAUGAACGCUAGCGGCAGGCUUAAUACAUGCAAGUCGAGGGGCAGCACAGAUAGCAAUAUUGGGUGGCGACCGGCAAACGGGUGCGGAACACGUACACAACCUUCCUUUUGGUGGGGGAUAGCCUUUGGAAACGGAGAUUAAUACCCCAUAAGAUAUUGGGACCGCAUGGUUUUGAUAUUAAAGAUUUAUUGCCAGAAGAUGGGUGUGCGUAUGAUUAGGUAGUUGGUGAGGUAAAGGCUCACCAAGCCGACGAUCAUUAACUGGUGUGAGGGCACGCCCGGUCACACGGGCACUGAGACACGGGCCCGACUCCUACGGGAGGCAGCAGUAAGGAAUAUUGGUCAAUGGACGGAAGUCUGAACCAGCCAUGCCGCGUGGAGGAUGAAGGUCCUCUGGAUUGUAAACUUCUUUUAUAUGGGGCGAAAAAGGGCCAUUCUUGGUCAACUGACGGUACCAUAUGAAUAAGCACCGGCUAACUCCGUGCCAGCCGCCGCCGUAACAC
rnacentral:rRNA from 1 species